rnacentral:rRNA from 1 species
UAAGGAAUAUUGGUCAAUGGACGCAAGUCUGAACCAGCCAUGCCGCGUGGAGGAUGAAGGUCCUCUGGAUUGUAAACUUCUUUUAUCUGGGAAGAAACCCAUGUUUUCUAAUGUGGUUGACGGUACCAGAUGAAUAAGCACCGGCUAACUCCGUGCCAGCAGCCGCGGUAAUACGGAGGGUGCAAGCGUUAUCCGGAUUCACUGGGUUUAAAGGGUGCGUAGGCGGGCAGAUAAGUCAGUGGUGAAAUCUCUAGGCUUAACCUAGAAACUGCCGUUGAUACUAUUUGUCUUGAAUAUCAUGGAGGUAAGCGGAAUAUGUCAUGUAGCGGUGAAAUGCUUAGAUAUGACAUAGAACACCGAUAGCGAAGGCAGCUUACUACAUGUUCAUUGACGCUGAGGCACGAAAGCGUGGGGAGCAAAC